CCUGCUGUUCUACAAUUACUCCAUCUGUUACCACUACUUCAAGACAACUACUUCAAAACAUCAACGUCAGUGACCUCAAUAAAAAAGACAAGACGAGUGGAAUACUACUACUACUACUACUGUCUGUGUACAGUCCUCUUUCAAGUGUGGAAACCCAGUGCUGACAUAGACUUGACAGUGAGAAACUUCUACAGUGAAUAACCACCAGACUGGAAAACCAAUGCACUAUUGGAAACUGCUGAGUGCCAAUGCAUCAUCGCCGCACCAGUGAGCCGCAGUGGACCACCAUCUAAAGAGUGCAUCACGCCGUUGACCCGUGUACAGCCUUCUGCUGCCAGUGACCAAGACUCAAAGACUCUACUCACACCACAACCCAACAGAGAGAAGACACUUCACCUGGAGGCCUGGAGGAUAAAGCUUGAAGAAAAGAAGAAGGAAAAAAAACAAGCUCGAAGGAAAAAAAGGACAAAAAAGCUUCCACCUCCCAGAAAAAAGGGUUCAGAUGAAGGUUCUGCCUCCCCCUUCAUAUCCUCUCUUGACAUUUAGGAUCCUUUUAGCUGCUCUCCAUGUCUAGAAACUGUCCUGAUCAGCUGCCUUGGACUGCUGAAGUGCCUUUCGUCCAAUAGAUCUUGGACUGCUGCUACUGUGGGUGGAGGAGUUCUGGACUUGGACUGUGCGUUGUCCCGGACUGCAAUUGGGUGUUGUGCCUUCAGUCGACUUUGAGUAUGAGUACUGCAGUGAACGUUUUCCUCUGCAUUAGCGACACUGUCUCUUGCUUGUAACGCAGGGUCUUGUACUGGCUUUGUUGACCACUGAAGGAACUGUGCACUGUUGUGCUUUCAGUUAGGUCUUCGGGACUGGCCUGAUGAUGUCUGCAAUGUUCAGAGAGAACCUGUAUCACCAAUCUCAGUAGAGUAGAGUAGAGUAGAGCAGAGUAGAGUAUAUUAGAGUAGAGUUGUAGAGGCUUGGCUUAGGUUAGUGGCUCUGGUGUUACAGGUGCUUUGGAUGGCGGAGGCAUUGUCAUGCGCAGGGCCUGUCCUGAUGCCUGGCUGGAGGUUGCUCCACGGUUCCUUCGGCUACCUUGAGGUGGGUGGCCAACCGGGUCAGUGGAAUGCCUUGCUGCGCAGGUGGGAGGUGGUCUCACUGUGUGGAGAAGGGCGUUCACUGCAGUGCUUGUCCGGACUCAGCUGGGGGCAAGGCACCCGGUUGCAGUCUGGGGUGGCGUGUGGGCCAGCUCCGGGGCUCCACUGCCAACAGUGGCAGUGGUCCAAGAACCGUUGGGCGAAGGGUGCUUCGGCCGUCUGGGAAGGCUGUUUGGGGCAGUUGCAUGGACAUGGAAACCGGCUGAGGGAUUCCUGAGUGUCGGGAGGGGAAUGGGGGCAGUGCCACGCCGGGCCUCCAGGGGAGAUGGGACUACCAGGACCUCCCAGACCCACAGACAGGGUUUACUGCCGCAGCGUGUGCGUGUACACCGGAUCUCAGAAGGGAGGUGGGACUGCCAUGAUCUCCUGGAUGCACAGAAGAAAGAGGCUUCGUCAGGAGUGUAGGUGACACUGGACCACUGGAAGAGGCGAAUGACCAGGCCCUGCAGCUGAUCAAGGGCCUAAAGGCGCACAGGGAGCCAAAGGGGUCAAAGGAGAAGAGGGACCCGCAGGACAACGGG